GCCACGGUGGUCUAGCGGUUAGAACGCUGGCCUUGUAAUCCUGGGGUCUCGGGUUCGAUUCCCGGAGGUGUCC
rfam:Zootermopsis nevadensis contig6824, whole genome shotgun sequence.